rnacentral:tRNA from 1 species
GGGGCGGUGGCGGAACAGGCAGACGCAGGGGACUUAAAAUCCUCCGGAGGUGACUCCUUGUGGGUUCGAUUCCCACCCGCCCCA